GGGAGGAGAAGGAAGGAAUUUAUCUACCAGCUCCCAUCUCUCAUGGACCAAAUUCUUCCCCACUGUACAUAACUCCAUAUCACUUUCAGAUUGCAUAAGGUGUCUGCUGUUCUUUCGGGAGAGGGCUUGAAGGUUGAUUUUAGUUCCCUGUAACUGGAGGUGACAUGUGAAAGCUCAAAGCUAUUGAAAAGGGUGAGAGCUGAAUGUAGGCUCCAACAGGAAGACGGCAUUGAAGCCUGGUUGCUUGUUACUACUCAGAAUGCCAUCUACAAAAGGAAAUUAUGUAAAAAGCAAUAAAGAACCCCUUUUGUUCUUGCAGGAGUCAGUGUUUCAUAACUCUUUCUGUGAUAUCGUCUGUAUAAGUUGAACCUCUAAAGAACCUUAUCUAAGUUGCCACGACCUUACUCAUUACCCUCAAGAAAGAUGAACAAUUUAAAGGGGGAAAAAAGGAAGUGAAAAAAAUGGCGGAUACGAGGCAGAACUAACCUGCAGCUUCCACUCGAAGGGACAGAGCAGAGUGUGGAGACCCACAACUGGAACUUUUUCUCCAAGAACUACCACAGGAACAU
rnacentral:lncRNA from 10 species